AGGUAGGAAUACCCGCUGAACUUUAAGCAUAUCAAUAAGCGGAGGAAAAGAAACCAACAGGGAUUGCCCUAGUAACGGCGAGUAAGCGGCAACAGCUCAAAUUUGAAAUCUGGCUUUGGCCCGAGUUGUAAUUUGCAGAGGAUGUUUUUGGCGCGGUGCCUUCCGAGUUCCCUGGAACGGGACGCCACAGAGGGUGAGAGCCCCGUAUGGUUGGACACCAAGCCUGUGUAAAACUCCUUCGACGAGUCGAGUAGUUUGGGAAUGCUGCUCUAAAUGGGAGGUAAAUCUCUUCUAAAGCUAAAUACCGGCCAGAGACCGAUAGCGCACAAGUAGAGUGAUCGAAAGAUGAAAAGCACCUUGAAAAGGGGGUUAAACAGUACGUGAAAUUGUUGAAAGGGAAGCGCUCAUGACCAGACUUGUGCCGUGCGGCUCAUCCGAGGUUCUCCCCGGUGCACUCCGCACGGCUCAGGCCAGCAUCGGUUCUCGUUGGGGGAUAAGAACAGUAGGAACGUGGCCCCCCUCGGGGGGUGUUAUAGCCUAUUGUACGAUACUCUGACGGGGACCGAGGACCGCGCUUCGGCAAGGAUGCUGG
rnacentral:rRNA from 1 species